UGUCGAUUUAAAAUGUUAUUGGUUUGCCAUAUCAAAGAAAUGUACCGGUAGUAUAAAAGGAGUCUUAAUGCACACAAUGAGAAAAGGCAUAAAAUAAAUAAAUUACCACUAAGUCACCCAGGCCCAUCAUCUCAGUGAAGUGUCCUGGGUGCUGUGACCCUGUGUUAAACUCUCUAAUGAAAAACAUGGUGGUUUUUCAAUGUUUAUACUGACUGCCUCGAGAUGAGCUUCCUCAUGCAGUAAUAACCGAUGAAAACUCAACAUGACUGCAGCCCCCAUAGGAAAGCACUGAUAAAGUGGUUUCCUAUGAGGAAAUGAUGAUGCGUGCAGCAAUAGCCAUGAAUGUACAGCGGGUCCCCAAUUCCAAGGCCAUGCCUGCCCUGUGACACUACUGGAAAAAAGGUAAGCGAGUGGGAGGGUAAGCAAUAUUACCCUUUUAUGAUGCAUGAAAAAAAAAAGGGGGUGGAGG